UACGUAGGGGGCAAGCGUUGUCCGGAAUCAUUGGGCGUAAAGAGCGUGUAGGCGGCUCGAUAAGUCUGCUGUGAAAGUCCAGGGCUCAACCCUGGAAGGCCGGUGGAAACUGUCGGGCUAGAGUCCGGAAGAGGCGAGUGGAAUUCCCGGUGUAGCGGUGAAAUGCGCAGAUAUCGGGAGGAACACCAAUGGCGAAGGCAAUCCCCUGGGCCUGCACUGACGCUCAUGCACGAAAGCGUGGGGAGCAAACAGG
rnacentral:rRNA from 1 species